rnacentral:rRNA from 1 species
GCAAGUUGAGCGCUUCCUAGCUAUGUUGGAAGAGCAGCAAACGGCUCCAUAACACGUAGUUAAUCUGCCCUUAGGACAGACAUAACCUUGGGAAACUGAGGUUAAUAUCUGAUAGGUGGAAACGCCUGGAAUGGUCUUCCGCUUAAAGGUUCAUGGAAACAUGCUUCUAAGAAUGCCUAAGGAUGAGACUGCGGCCGAUCAGGCUGUUGGUGAGGUAACGGCUCACCAAACCUAUAACCGGUACGGGCCCUGAGAGGGGGAGCCCGGAGAUGGGAACUGAGACAAGGUCCCAGGCCCUACGGGGCGCAGCAGGCGCGAAACCUCCACAAUGCGCGAAAGCGUGAUGGGGUUACCCCGAGUGCCGUCCGUUGAGGAGGGCUUUUCCCCAGUGUAAGGAGCUGGGGGAAUAAAGGGGGGGCAAGACUGGUGUCAGCCGCCGCGGUAAUACCAGCCCCCUGAGUUAUAGGGACGAUUAUUUAGCCUAAAGCGUUCGUAGCCGGCUUUGCAAGUCUUUCGUUAAAUCUAACGACUCAAUCGUUAGGCCGCGGAAGAUACUGCUAGGCUUGAGGGCGGGAGAGGUCGACGGUAGUCCCGGGGUAGGGGUGAAAUCCAAUAAUCCCGGGAGGACCACCAGUGGCGAAGGCGGUCGACCAGAACGCGCCUGACGGUGAUGGACGAAAGCUGGGGGGAGCGAACCGGAUUAGACACCCGGGUAGUCCCAGCUGUAAACGAUGCGAGCUA